rnacentral:rRNA from 1 species
UACGUAGGGGGCAAGCGUUUGUCCGGAUUUAUUGGGCGUAAAGAGCGUGUAGGCGGUUUGGUAGGUCCGCUGUGAAAACUCGAGGCUCAACCUCGAGACGCCGGUGGAAACCAUCAGACUAGAGUCCGGAAGAGGAGAGUGGAAUUCCUGGUGUAGCGGUGGAAUGCGCAGAUAUCAGGAGGAACACCAAUAGCGAAGGCAGCUCGCUGGGACGUUUACUGACACUGAGGCGCGGAAAGCGUGGGGAGCGAACAGG